UACGGAGGGAGCUAGCGUUGUUCGGAAUUACUGGGCGUAAAGCGCGCGUAGGCGGUUUUUUAAGUCAGAGGUGAAAGCCCGGGGCUCAACCCCGGAAUAGCCUUUGAAACUGGUGAUCUUGAGUACGGGAGAGGUGAGUGGAAUUCCCAGUGUAGAGGUGAAAUUCGUAGAUAUUGGGAAGAACACCGGUGGCGAAGGCGGCUCACUGGCCCGUAACUGACGCUCAGGCGCGAUAGCGUGGGGAUCAAACAGG
rnacentral:rRNA from 1 species